CCUUGGUAGGAUUGGAGUCCCAGAAGAGGAGAAGAUAAAAGGAGCAGGAGACAUCGUGAAUUCCACCAGCAAUUGCUCUCCAUGGGAGCUGGUCCCAGCCCUGUGCUGCCCCAGUAAGGGCAGUGAGUCAGGAGCAGCUUUGGGAAUGGCAGGACUCAAUGCGACUGGAGAAAAGAGCACGUGGAAUAUUGGAAAUUAA
rnacentral:lncRNA from 1 species